CCACAAUGGACGAAAGUCUGAUGGAGCGACGCCGCGUGCGGGAUGAAGGCCUUAUGGGUUGUAAACCGCUGUCAGGGGGGAAGAACAUCGGAAUGAACAAUACUCAUUCCGACUGACGUUACCCCCAGAGGAAGCUCCGGCCAACUCCGUGCCAGCAGCCGCGGUAAUACGGGGGGAGCAAGCGUUGUCCGGAAUUAUUGGGCGUAAAGGGCGUGUAGGCGGCGAGGUAAGUCGAAUGUGAAAUCUCACGGCUCAACCGUGAAACUGCGUUCGAAACUACCCCGCUUGAGUACGGGAGAGGUGUACGGAAUUCCUGGUGUAGCGGUGGAAUGCGUAGAUAUCA
rnacentral:rRNA from 1 species